UAGUAUGUUUUAGAUAUGCCCUUGGAU
rnacentral:piRNA from 1 species